ACGCUAGCGGCAGGCCUAAUACAUGCAAGUCGGACGGGAUUCAGGGAGUAGCUUGCUACGAACUGAUGAGAGUGGCGCACGGGUGCGUAACGCGUGAGCAACCUACCCAUAUCAGGGGGAUAGCCUCUCGAAAGAGAGAUUAACACCGCAUAACAUCAUUUACCGGCAUCGGUUAAUGAUCAAAUAUUUAUAGGAUAUGGAUGGGCUCGCGUGACAUUAGCUAGUUGGAGGGGUAACGGCCCACCAAGGCUACGAUGUCUAGGGGCUCUGAGAGGAGAAUCCCCCACACUGGUACUGAGACACGGACCAGACUCCUACGGGAGGCAGCAGUAAGGAAUAUUGGUCAAUGGAGGGAACUCUGAACCAGCCAUGCCGCGUGCAGGAUGACUGCCCUAUGGGUUGUAAACUGCUUUUGUCAGGGAAUAAACCUUUCCACGUGUGGGAAGCUGAAUGUACCUGAAGAAUAAGGAUCGGCUAACUCCGUGCCAGCAGCCGCGGUAAUACGGAGGAUCCAAGCGUUAUCCGGAUUUAUUGGGUUUAAAGGGUGCGUAGGCGGUCCUAUAAGUCAGUGGUGAAAGACGGCAGCUUAACUGUCGCAGUGCCUUUGAUACUGUAGGACUUGAAUCUAUUUGAAGUGGGCGGAAUAAGACAAGUAGCGGUGAAAUGCAUAGAUAUGUCUUAGAACUCCGAUUGCGAAGGCAGCUCACUAAGUUAGUAUUGACGCUGAUGCACGAAAGCGUGGGGAUCAAAC
rnacentral:rRNA from 1 species